rnacentral:lncRNA from 1 species
CCGGCCAAAAACAUGAUGAUAUAUAUAGCUGUGACAGUGAGGAGUGGGGAUUCUUUUUGGAAGCAUGCAUGUUGCCCCAUUUUACCUUUUUUUUGUUUUUUUGAUAAGAGAGUGUUAGGGCGCGGAUGGGAGAGUAUCAAUAAUUUUAUAUUAGUUGUGAGUCAAUAAAAACUCUAAUUUAUAUGAGAUAAAAUAUUCUCUCACAAGUGAG